GCUGAUUGGCUGAAACGGGGUGCGUGGCUGUUGGGGGGGCGUUACAGAGGAGUCAGCGGUGUCAGAGUAAACCCGGUGAACCCGGUGCUCGAGAACUGGGGGAAAGGUCGGCGCGGCGAACGAGCGGAAUCGUGAGAUACUCGCACGCGUCUGGCUAGCUCUGCCAGUGGAGUGUGGCAUGCGCAGACGGGAGAGCGCUGAGUCCACAAUGAAUUGCCUCACUCGACUGGUGCACAAAGGGGAAACGGGGACACGGAGAGAUGCCGCUUAUGAAAGUAACAACCUACAAUGGAAACAAUGAAUAACAGCUGUGAUAAUAAUAAAAAAAAACAAUAAUAGUACGAAUAGCAAUAGGUCUUCUCACAAAGACGCGGUUGUCCGCGGGUCCGGAAAUCAUUACAUCUCCGCAUCACGAGGGCUGUGAUUUUUUGCUGGUCUGUCUGGGUGAGCGGAGCUGAGCAGACAAAAGGCUUCAUCAGUCGCCCCCUCCUCUUCAGAGAUUCAGAUAUCCAGUGAAAAAGACAGGAGAGAUUGUAUUUCUCUGACUGUGAUGUGUCAUACAGCUGAGGAAAAACAUUUGCUGUCCUUGGAAAAUCGCAGUAAUCGUUCAUGUUCUGAAAGUUGGCAUUCUAAAAGUAAUUUAAUGUAUCAUGAUGUAUAGGCACCACUUUAUGUCUUAAUUAAGUAAUGUACAUGAUUGUUUUUUGUUUUUUUUUUUUCCACAAAGAUGAAUCAGUAAUGUAAAUCAAGUCUUAAAGGGGUCAUCGGAUGCUAAGUUCACUUUUACAUGUUGUUUGAACAUUAAUAUGUGUUGGCAGUGUAUGUACAAAUCUACCCUAUAAUGAUAAAAAAACAUGCUGUGGUUUUCAUUUAAUCUGUAAAAAUAAUAUUCCCUUUUUCAAAUCGAGCCAUUCUCAGAUGCCUGUCGUUGGUGUGUAAAACCCACAGAGGGCGCUCCCACAAUAGUUGAUUGACAUGAGCGUUUUACCUCAGAUCAGCUGUAACAGUCCGCCCUCUUUUGUUUUGAUGCUGGAACAGGGAUGUAAGUUAGACAAGAAUAUCUCCGAUUGAGCGAUUGAGGUGUUGUGUUGCUGGAUGUAAUAAUGAACAUAGUGGUCGUCAUUUACUCCCGACAUCUGAGCCGCUGAAGACGCAGUAGAUUACGUUUGUUUGUGAAGGGAAUGCGCCUCCCAAUCUAAAUAAAUGCAUCUAUGUUCACACAAAUCAUUCGUGAUCCAGCUUCACUUACAGCAGACGUGAGUAUAAGGGUUUUUUAUGAAUCUCUGUGAUCGCCUUUCCUUAUAACGUGGUAGUUAGCAAGUUUAGCGGCUAAAUGCGGCUAUAGUAAACAGGCUCGUCACUCCACAGAGAGAAGAGAGGGGCGGGGCAAGCAGAGCUCAUUUGCAUUUAAAGCGGCCUCGACCAGAAUGAGAUGAUUUUUGCAGAGCUGAUUUUGGCAAGGUAAAAAGGGUGUUGUUUUACACAACCAUUGAGAAUUUUUAACCAAAGUAUAUUAUACACUUUUCAUUAAGACCCUAAAGAAUCAUAUCAACUUGUGGAAAAUGGGCAUCUGAUGACCCCUUUAAACACAUAAUUGACAUGUGGACAAAGGCAAAUAUUAUAAUGUCCUAUUAAACAGCAAUAUUUUAUUCUAAAUAUACAGGAGGUUCAACAAUUUUGACUGAUAAUAACGACUGAAUGUUUCCGCCACAGAUCUGGUAAUAUUUAGUAAUCCAAUAGCACAGAUUUACUUUUAAAAGUGCUAAACUAACAACAAAAUAGGAUUUUUGUUAGAGAAACACAUUUCUGGGUAUAGAAGGCAUCUGGUUAGGGUCCGAGCACCGAUGUUGUGAGAACCCUGUUGGAAUUGUUCAGAUUCUUCUCCAAAAUUAAUUGCAUUUUUAAGGGCCUAAACAUGCUCGAAAAUUUAUGAAACUUUGCACACACACCAAACAUGGUGAAAAUUUACAUCUGAUAUGGGUUUCAGAAAUGGGUGUGGCAAAAUGGCUCAAUAGCGCCACCUAUAAAAUGUCAACAAAGUGCCCCUCGAGCUGUGUUUCACAUACAUGUACGAAAUUUGGUAGACACACGUAACACACUGAUACACACAAAAAAAGUCCCUGAUAGAAGUCCAAAACCCAACAGGAAAUCUGUUAUUUAGAAUUUUAUUUAGAGUUUUGUCCCAUUUUCAGGCGCAUUUAAACAAACUCCUACUAGAGAUUUAAACAGAUCAACAGCAUAUUUGGGCAGUGUAAUCUGAAGUCCUUUGUGAUGUUAAAUUGCGAAGAUCUUGAGUUUCCGUGGCGGCUUGACAAACUUUGAUGUUUUGCCAUGAAAAGGAAGUUGUUAUAAUUUAGGCACACAAUGUCCGAUCUGCACCAAAA